UUCAUGGUAGAAGGCAAAGACUGUGCACAGGGACCAUGAGUGGAGAGCAUGCUCAGAGGACAGUUGCCAGAAUUUCACUGGAUGUGUCGCCAUCAUAGAGAACUAAUUGAGAGAAUGAAGGUUGUAUUAUUUGGAGAAGAGAGGACUCAUUUGGGUCACUGUGCUGGUAGGAAGGCAAAAUGAGGCUGGCCGACCGAGAAACCACCAGCUUCAAGAUAUUCAGAGCUUCUCU